GAUCAUGCAAAAACAGAAGAGAAGACUAUUGCUGAACAUAGAAAUUUGGGCCCCAUUGUGCAAGGUGCUACUGAACUGUAAUAGGAGCCAGACCCUUCUCCAAAGAGCUUACAGUUGAAAUGGAUUAUCACCAAAUUAUGUGUCAUCAAUUUUAAGCUAAUCUUCAGAAAGCUUGUAUGGGCUAUAGCUCUCCCCACCAUACUUGGGCCGUGCUCAACUGGGAGACUUUAGAUACUGGAACCCCGCUUUAAACCUCUACUUUGUGAUGGAACUGAAAAUUAUUUUUCAUCAUCCAAUUAAAUUAAGAUGAACAACGCAUUUUGAUCCAAAAUUCAAUUCCCUUGGAAGGAUGAAAUUUGAUUCUGGAAUAAACUUAUAAGAAGACAUUUAUUCGUGGAGACCCCUCUCAUUACAUUUGAAAGCUUAACUUGCAAAAGUUGGCGU